rnacentral:pre_miRNA from 1 species
UCUUCAUUUCACAUGCUCUCUCACCAGUCAGCGUGACGAGAGAGUAUAUGAAAUGAGGAGA